AAGAAGUGACCUGACAAAAAAAAAAGGAAAAGAAAAGCCCCCCCACGCGACUGUUCAUCUUCCUCGCGAGGGGGGGGUCUCUGCCGGCGCAAUCGCCGUCCACUCCCUCCGGCGUCCGACCGUGCCGUCCCCGCUCGCCCGCGCUGGCAUCCGAGCCCCGACGCCUGCAGCGCCCCCGAAACCGGCGCCCCUCCUCCGUCCAGAUCUGCUCAGCGCUUCUGCUCGAGCUUGAAACCGGUCGUUGCACCCCCUUAAUCGAGCGACCAACUGAGCCGCUUCCACCGCUCCAAAUCUGGACGCCGACGGCCAGCUGUACCACCAGAUCCCGAUGCCGGCGGAUCUGAACCGUCGGCAAGCAUCCGCGUUUGCGCCCGUCCCCGACGCCCGCUUCAGCAGAUCCCGAAUCCUUUCUCUCCGAGCGACGACCGCCCCUACUCUGACCACGAUCUGCCCAACCCAGCGCCCAAAGGCUCUGCCGCGCCUCCGUCUGCUACCCCCGCGUUGGCUGCCGCUGCUUCAGAUCUGCCCGUUGCAACAACCCGCGACGCCAGCCCACGCCGGUCGCUGCGCCUCCUCGGCUUGCAGCAACUCGUGACGACGACGCCACAGUAGCUCUCAACCGCAAGCCGGCCGUCGCCACUCUUGCCCUCUGCCCGAGCAUCGACGCCACUACAGCCCGCACCUGAGGUCCUCCAACCGCGACGCCCCUCGCUGAUACCCCGCGCCGGAGCUCCGACGACUCCGCCCUGCCUCCAGCCCUAGCCGACCCGCGACGCCAGCCCGCGCCGAUCCCCGAAGCUCCUGUUGCUGUUCCGCCGUCGCGCCGCUCCGGAGCCUCGCCGGAACCCUAGCCGGCGAUCUCCCCUGCCGGACCGGCCACCGGAUUUAUUUUUCUUUUUCUUUUUCAAAAAAAAAGAAAAGAGAAAAAAGAGAAAAAACAAAAGAAAAUUUAGGUAUUUUCUUUAUCUUAUUUUUGUUUUAUUUUUUUUGCUAUUUUAUUUUAUCUUUUUAGUGUAAUUAUUCAUUUAAUGUGAAAUUGAAAUUCCAUGAUAUGAAAUUGCCUUGAAAUUAGUGAUUGU
rnacentral:lncRNA from 1 species